rnacentral:misc_RNA from 1 species
GUAAAAUGUUUCUGAUUUUUCUGGGAGAAAGUACAUCCAUGCCUUUCUAGAAAAAUCAUCUAUAAAACAUAGCAAGUACCUUUUUCCGCUGCUUGAAGGCGGUGUAAUAGGACCACAUAGAUCCGCAUGAACAAGACCCAAUUUUUCAGUUGCUCUCCACUGACUUCUUUUUGGAAUGGGAGUCCGAUGUUGUUUGCCGUUCAUACAUGCUUCGCAAGUGAUGCUUGGAUCAACAAUUUGCGGCAAACCUUCCACCAUGUUUUUAUGUUGCAAGAUACGAAGGCCUUUGUAGCUGAGAUGGCCAUAACGAUAGUGCCAGAGUAUUGACUGAUCCGAAUUUGAAACUUGGAGGCAUCUCCCUUCAUGUGUUGUGAUUGAUGACUCUGCAAGCAAAAUGAACAUCCGAUUUGCACUCAUAAUUGAUUCUGCCAUUUUCCCUUUUUGUGGAUGAUAAAUACUGCAUACUCCAUUUUUGAACAGCACUGCUACUCCCUUUUCUUGA